AUGAAGACGUUGGAUGCCCUGGGAAAUGGCUUCUUCGACGCUAGGCUUGAACACAAUUCACCACGGACGCUGCCACCCUCAUCACAUGCCAGACCAGUGGGGCUGCCUGCUCUUGGACUGCGAACCUUCCAAACGUAAGCCCCUCUCAGAAUUAGUCUUCAUAUUUUGGCCAAAAUGAUGUACAAUGAAGAAAUGCUGAACACUUAAAGCAAUGUGGUGACCAAUGUGGAGGAGACAUCAAGUGGCAUCUAGCGGUUCUCUGACAGCUGUGCCACCUUGGAGACUACGUAGAGAGCACACUGCGUGCCGGGGGCUCUGCCGAGUCCACAGGACCCAGUGACUGCACUUCUGCUGGCUGCCUUUGAUGUGCACGGCUGAGAACUCCAAACUCAAUCCACCACUUUUUAGCCCAUAUCCCAUCUUUGCUGUAGCCCUCCUGUGAUCCUGUAAGCUCUGUCAAUACUAGACCAUUUCAUCACCAAAUGUUGGCAGAUCAAUGGAUUUUUCUGAAUAGUAACCUACAAUUCAAAGAUUCAGAGUCCGACAACAGUGUGAAGGUGGUGGCUGAGUAACCUCCCCCAGGGUGUGGACACGCCAGCUUUAACAACGAAUUGUUCAUGUACCAGUUUGCCUUUACAAGAGCUGUGGAAGCCAGGUGCAAGACCACACUGCUUGGUUUCAGUACCACCGUAAGAAAGGACACAUCAAGGAGGCCCUGAAGAAAGAGAGGGACAAAUCUCCUUGCUCAGCUCCAUGCAGCACAGCAUGGAGAGACACCAGGCCACCAUUGGAACCCAGUGCUGGACGCAGCCCCACGGCCCCUGCCCACAGGAAUGGAGCACAAAGGUGAGCACAGGACGAGACACUGCAGAGCCAGGAGAUCCAUGCUGGCCUCAGAAAGGAAGGGAACUAUGGACACACCUUCUGCUCUCUUUCAAGAUUAACCCUGAGCCAAGAGGUACUUUACUCGGCGAAACAGGGGAAGCAGGAGGCACCAGGCAGUCCCUACUCACACUGCAGACACCGUGGGCCCUUAUGGGCCCCGAGCUUAGAUUAGGGCACUGCUGGGUACCACACUACCCCACUGCCUGGGAGAAAGAGCCCAGCCCUGGCUGCACCCUCCCGUGCACAGAGCCAUCUUGAGACAGUGCCUACUGAGCCCUGGGAAGCAGCUGCUGCUAGCAGCUCCGUGGUCACAGCCAGGAGGCCCCGAGCGGCCCUCCUCUGGCUCUGGGAACAACCUGGGCAGCACACAGACUGCAGCUUGGCCUGCAGAGCCCCCCACCCCGACACAGUCGGGUGGCCCUGCUCUCCUGCUGCUCCAGAAGGAGCGGGGUGACCCUACCCAUGUACUUUUGGCUCCAUAGCGCAGCCAGCCAGCCCUGAGUGGCUUGGCCCUCAAAGCCCAGGGAAGUAGAUGGGCAGACCUGAGCAGCUGUACCGAGUGGCUCACCUGUUGAGUUCCCCGGGAAGCCAUUGGGAGGCCGUGCCCAUCCUCCUAUGGCUCUAAGGAGCUGCUGAGCAGCCUGCCCUGAGAGAAGGGGAGAAGCACAUACUUGGUGUUGCCCUGGGCCCAAGGAAGCAGCUUGGCAGAGCCUUGUGGGCAGGCUGGACCCUGGAAGCACCGUGAUGUGACCUGAAUGGCCUUCAGAUACUGACAAGCAACCUGCCUUGCUACCACACACAUUGUGCUGCAUCUACCUGGGCCUAAAGGGGUGGCCCCACACACAUACAAUCAGAAGACACUAGGGGAGCCCCACACCUGCAGCGAGGCACCACUCAUAGGGCUGCCAGUGACCUUGCACCCCGACUGGUGGUGCGGUUCUACAACCCCCGGAGCCUAAGUCACUAAGACACUUGCAGAUAUCCCCAGUGCUGUGAUGCUGAAGAGGCUAUAUGGACACUACCCGAAUGCACUUACCUGAAGCCAAAGCCAGCACAGCACAUCCAACCACCAUCCUAGGACACAUCACCAGCAGAAAGGUUUUUGCUACAAAAGCCACUGUAUAACAUUAGUAGAAUUAACUGACCCACCAGAUGCACAAAAACCAAGAGGCAUGAGAAGCAUGAAAAAGCAAGUUAAGGUGAUGGCGCCAACAGAACACGGUAACUCUAGCAAAAGCCCACAAGGAAGUGGAAAUCAGCAAAUUGCUGACAAAGAAUUCCAAAGAAUAAUUUUAAGAAACUUAAUGAAAUAGUUUAAUACAGACAAUUCAAUGACAUUGGGAGGAAAAUUCACGAUAUGAAUGAGAAAUUCAGCAAAGAGAUACGGAUCAUAAAAAAAGAAUAAUUAGAAAUCUUGGUGCUAAAGAACUCAAAUGAAAUUUUAAAAACAAUAGUUGAUAGCCUAUUGGGUAUGCAAAAGAAAGAAAGUCUUUUGAAAUAACCCAGAUUUAAAAAGUUGAAAAGAAUGAAGGGAGAUCCAAGACUUUUGGGACACCAUUAAGUAUGCAAAUACUUGCUUUAUUCUAUGAGAUAAUUAUGCUGAAAAUUUUGCAAAUUUUGGGAGAUGUGGACAUUCAGCUCCAGGAAGCUCAAAAGGACCCCAACCAAAUCCUCUGAGGUAUAUUACGGUCAAAAACAGAAGACAAUUAUAAAAACAGCAAGACAAGUGUCAAGUCCUGUAUAAGGGAAUUCCCCCUCCCACUAGAAACUGGCAGACUGAUCAGCUGAAACCUUAUAGGCCAGGAGAGAAUGGGAUGAAAUAUUCAAAAUCGUCAAAGUAAAACGCUGCCAGCCUAGCAAAGCUAUCUUUCAAAAUGAAAGAUAAAUCAAAACUUUCCCUGACAAGCAAAACCUGAAGGGAUUCCUUACCACCAGACUGGCCCUACAAGACAUGAGACCUGAAGCAAAGGUAGCCAACAACAGGAAAACACACAGAAGUACAAAUCUCAACAGCAAAGCAGAUUACACAAGAGAACGACAAGAAAAAUGAAUUCUUCCUAUUUAGUUCCACUCCCCUGCGGCUUUGAUUUGCUACAUGUUUAGUGAAGGGUUUUUUCACCUGUAUUAGGAUUACAGUUGUAUAAUUUUUUUCUUAUAUGCUGGUCUCUUAAAAUGACGUGGAAGGUGAUCCUUCUAUAUUUUCUGAAAGGUUUCUGCUUUAAAUGUCUAGUAGGAUUCACUAGUAAAACUAUUUAGACUUUUCGUUAUUUUGGGGGAAGAUGAAAGCAUGAAAUUAAUUUUUUAAAGGUAUAUGGGGCUAUUUAAAAAUUUUUUUUGGCAUGUCAGUUUUAUCAAUUUGUUUCUGAAGAAAUAUGUGCAUUCCAUUUGUGGCCAAAAAGCAAAUGCUAUCAGUCUAUUGAAAGUACAUCUACACUCCUGUGUUUAUUCCUUCACUAUUCAUACUAAUUAAGACACAGAAUCAACCCAUGUGUCAUCAACCAAUGGAUUGAUAAAUAAAAUUUGGCAUACAUACUUUAUACUAUUCAUCCUUAUAAAAGGUUGAAAUCCUGUCAUUUGUGACAAUGUGGAUGAACCUAGAGGACAUUGCAUUAGGUUGAGAUAACCCAGGCACAGAAAGACAAAUACCACAUGAUCUCCUUCAUUCAUGAACUCUAUAAAAAAGUUGAUUACAUUCAAGUUGAGAGUAGAAUGCUGGUUACUGGUGGGUAUAGAAAGAGAGUUGAUGGUGAGGGAACUGGGGAGAGAUUAGUUGAUGGGUAAAAUGUAAGCUAGAUUUGGGGAACAAAUUCCGGUGUUCCACUGCUUAGUAGAGAGACUACAGUUAAUAUAUUGCUGUUUUUCAAAACAGCCAGGAGAGGAUUUUUAAUGUUCUCACCACAAAGAAAUGAUAAAUAUUUGAGGUUGUGGAUACACUAAUUACUCUAAUUUGAUCAUUAGGCAAAGUAUACAUGCAUAGAAACAUCACCUUGUAUCCCAUAAAUACAUAAUAUACAAUUAAAUGUCAAUCAAAAAUAGCAUUUGAAACUCAAAGAAUGUUUUAAAC